GGGGAUGAGGGGAACUGAAUGAGCACGCCGCGUGAUGGAAGAAGGCUUUCGGGUCGUAAAGCUCUGUUGUCGGGGAAGAACAAGUUACCGGAGUUAACUGCCGGGUGCCUUGACGGUACCUGAACAAAAAGCCCCGGCUAACUACGUGCCAGCAGCCGCGGUAAUACGAA
rnacentral:rRNA from 1 species